UCUCCGUUGGUGAACCAGCGGAGGGAUCAUUACCGAGUGAGGGUUCCGGCCCGACCUCCAACCCUUUGUGAACCAAACUUGUUGCUUCGGGGGCGACCCUGCCGACGACUUUGUCGCCGGGCGCCUCCGGAGGUCUUCUAAACACUGCAUCUUUGCGUCGGAGUUUAAACAAAUUAAACAAAACUUUCAACAACGGAUCUCUUGGUUCUGGCAUCGAUGAAGAACGCAGC
rnacentral:misc_RNA from 1 species